UCUCGAUUGGUCUAGUGGUGAGGAUACCUGCUUGUCAUUCAGAAGAACUCUUACUUAUCCUUCGGGAUUCAAGAAUUCUCUUCGAAUCGCAGGUGGCCGGGGUUCGAUUCCCCGAUCGAGAG